UGCUCAUUAUAAUUCAUAGUAAUUUUACUAUGUGCUUCAUUCGAGUGUUUGUUUUUUACGGGCCAGCCGUUCGCGAUUUCGGAACGCGAACAAAAUUAUCGGAUUGUCGGUUUGUCGGAUGGGGAAAAUUAUUUCCUCAGAUUUCCCAGAUUGUGUCGUCGACCAGCUGGAAAGGGCCUCAACGAGCCUUUGAACCAACGCUCCCGGAGCGGGACAGCAUAUUAGUCUGGUCGGAAAUUUUUCAGGUUAGUGAAAUUUAGUUCUAUUUUAUUCACCAGCGGAUAGGCGAAUUUACCAUUUUUUUCAAUUCCAUGUGUGAUACUGUUUUUUCUUAAUUUAUUUUGUGUCGGCGAAUGCGCUCGAGCUCCUCAACCUCCCUCGAUUUCGGAUAUUGGACAACUUCGGAGGACAUUGUGACGAAAGCUGCUAACCGGUGAGCUGGCGCACUGUUUGCGGAACGCAAUUUCAGUACAUCUGCCGGGCCGUUAAAUGCAGGCUUUCAGACGCUAAGUGUGAUGCAACCCCUGUGC